rnacentral:rRNA from 1 species
AUUGAACGCUGGCGGCAGGCCUAACACAUGCAAGUCGAACGGUAACAGGAAGAAGCUUGCUUCUUUGCUGACGAGUGGCGGACGGGUGAGUAAUGUCUGGGAAACUGCCUGAUGGAGGGGGAUAACUACUGGAAACGGUAGCUAAUACCGCAUAACGUCGCAAGACCAAAGAGGGGGACCUUCGGGCCUCUUGCCAUCGGAUGUGCCCAGAUGGGAUUAGCUAGUAGGUGGGGUAACGGCUCACCUAGGCGACGAUCCCUAGCUGGUCUGAGAGGAUGACCAGCCACACUGGAACUGAGACACGGUCCAGACUCCUACGGGAGGCAGCAGUGGGGAAUAUUGCACAAUGGGCGCAAGCCUGAUGCAGCCAUGCCGCGUGUAUGAAGAAGGCCUUCGGGUUGUAAAGUACUUUCAGCGGGGAGGAAGGGAGUAAAGUUAAUACCUUUGCUCAUUGACGUUACCCGCAGAAGAAGCACCGGCUAACUCCGUGCCAGCAGCCGCGGUAAUACGGAGGGCGCAAGCGUUAAUCGGAAUUACUGGGCGUAAAGCGCACGCAGGCGGUUUGUUAAGUCAGAUGUGAAAUCCCCGGGCUCAACCUGGGAACUGCAUCUGAUACUGGCAAGCUUGAGUCUCGUAGAGGGGGGUAGAAUUCCAGGUGUAGCGGUGAAAUGCGUAGAGAUCUGGAGGAAUACCGGUGGCGAAGGCGGCCCCCUGGACGAAGACUGACGCUCAGGUGCGAAAGCGUGGGGAGCAAACAGGAUUAGAUACCCUGGUAGUCCACGCCGUAAACGAUGUCGACUUGGAGGUUGUGCCCUUGAGGCGUGGCUUCCGGAGCUAACGCGUUAAGUCGACCGCCUGGGGAGUACGGCCGCAAGGUUAAAACUCAAAUGAAUUGACGGGGGCCCGCACAAGCGGUGGAGCAUGUGGUUUAAUUCGAUGCAACGCGAAGAACCUUACCUGGUCUUGACAUCCACGGAAGUUUUCAGAGAUGAGAAUGUGCCUUCGGGAACCGUGAGACAGGUGCUGCAUGGCUGUCGUCAGCUCGUGUUGUGAAAUGUUGGGUUAAGUCCCGCAACGAGCGCAACCCUUAUCCUUUGUUGCCAGCGGUCCGGCCGGGAACUCAAAGGAGACUGUUAGUGAUAAACUGGAGGAAGGUGGGGAUGACGUCAAGUCAUCAUGGCCCUUACGACCAGGGCUACACACGUGCUACAAUGGCGCAUACAAAGAGAAGCGACCUCGCGAGAGCAAGCGGACCUCAUAAAGUGCGUCGUAGUCCGGAUUGGAGUCUGCAACUCGACUCCAUGAAGUCGGAAUCGCUAGUAAUCGUGGAUCAGAAUGCCACGGUGAAUACGUUCCCGGGCCU